rnacentral:lncRNA from 1 species
CUCCUGGAGUUCCUGCUGUGCUGCAAGAAGAUCAGCAGCGUCUUAGGAGCACAGGGAUGCAGGUUUGAUCCCAGGCGCUGCACAGUGGGUUAAGAAUCUGGCGUUGCUACAGCUGUGGCUCAGGUCGCAACUGAGACUGAGAUCUGAUCCCUGGCCUGGGAACUCCAUGUGCCAAGGGGUGGCCAAAAAAGAAAAAAGACAUGACCUUCCUGCUCUCCAUAUGAUUUAUGAUUGUUUGUUAAAAUGCGAUGAUCCUUGUACGAAAUCUAGCACAGUAGGUUGCAAUAGUUAUUAUUGUUGCAACUCUUCUUAUUCAAUUAGGAUUCCUUGAAAAGUCUACAAAGUUUGCUCUUUAUGUUGCCAUCUGGCCUUCUUAAUAAUGUUUGUCCUAAGUUUAUGAUGGGAUCACAAAAUGAGUCUUAAAACUGCAGGAGACCUACCGUAUAGCACAAGUAACUCUACCCAAUAUUCUGAGGUAACCUACAUGGGAAAAGAAUCUGAAAAAGAAUGGAUGUGUGUGUGUGUAUAACUGAAUCACUUUGUUGUACAGCAGAAAUUAACACAACUUUGUAAAUCAACUAUACUUCAAUAAAACUUCAACAAAGGAAAAAAGAUUGCAGGGAAAUUUGAGCAGUCCAUCUCUAAUAAAAAUCAUUUUCCAGAAAUUUUUUCCUUUUUUAAAAAAGAAAUAAAACUAUGAAAACAGUUCCUGAACAAAAUGACUACCCAUUAGAUAUGCAGGCAAAUUCAUACACAGACUUAAUGUUGGACCUUAGGUAGAAAAAUAAUAAACACUUUUCUUUUUAAGAUUUCAUAGGCUUUCUAUGAACAGGUUCAUGGCAUCUCAUAAACUAAAGGAAAUGUAAUUUUUCUCUGAGUGUAAAAAAAUUCCAAUGUGUUCUUCAGUUUUAUCUUCCUAAUCAUUACUUGUUCAUCUAUUCAUAUUUUAAACUCAGUUUUGAAAAGAACUGUUUGAUUUCCUAUGUCAGCAUUCUGUUCCUUCUCACGUGUGCAUUGCUUAUCCACAGAAAAUGAUGGAAAAUCCUCCAUGUGAAAGGUUUAGUGAAAGUAACAGCACCAACAUUCUUUUAUCUGUGAUGAUGGGAAGAUAAUCCACAUGUGAAAGCACUUGGUGCUUCAGCUAAUUUUGAGUGACAGAAGCAUAAUAGAACCUCCUAAGCACUGACAUUCUGCAAUAACACGGCAUUGUCAUCCUUUGUCUGAUCCUGGCUCAUACAAAUCUCACUCAGUGUUUCCAAUUCCUAACAAAAACUAGAGAAAUACACCUCAAAGCUAUUAUAGAGAAAUGGAUUAGGUAUAGCUCUGAAUCUUUAAACAAACCCUUAAUGAUAUAAAAAUCCUAUUUAUACACUUCUCAAGAGAUGUUUAUAGACAGGAUGAAAAUCAUGAAUCUAGAUCUCACAAGUGAUUUGCAUGCCUAAAUCCUGGAUGUAUUCUGCUUCUCAAAGUAUUAGCCUUUUCUGUCCUUUCUUGGCAUUUGAGGUUUUGGCUUCUUAAGGCUGUUUUGCAAACAGUUUUAGGAAUGCUGAGAGGAAAAUUCUAUAUCCAUUUGACUUGAGUAUUAUGGACAGCAUUUUCUCCUGAUUUUCUUCUGAUUUUUUAUUUUCCAUUUUCUCCUGAUUUUUUUAUUUUUGGAAAAAGCAAAAGCAAAAGCUCUUACCUCUCAUUAUGAUCAGGGAUGGCAAUCCUUUGGCGAUUUUUGAAAUAAGAGGAAUUCGUCAGGCAUUUCCUCCCACUUCUCUUUCGGUGUCCACAUUUUAGGAGGUGAGAUGUCCUGCAUUUCUCCCUGGUUGUGGGAACGCUUUGCCAUAUGCAGUACAUCUAGACUUUCCUUUCCAGGCAGUAACACUGCCUCUAAAGUUAUACUUCUUUCUUUGUAUCCAUCGACUCUUAGCCCUUUUGGUUCUCAUCCUCCCAUGUUUCUACUCUUAACCAGUGCUCAGGGGGGAAGCAUGAUAAGAGGAGAAAGAGCAUUUAGCUAGAAACUGGAGCCUUGAGUCAAGACUCCUGGCGUGCUCACCUGUGCUAGACACUAUUUUAAGUGCCUGUCACAUGAUAACUCAUUCGAUUCUUAGAACAGACCUAUUGUUUACAUGCAUCCUAUGAAAGAGGACACAGUAGGGUUAAAUCAUCACUAGCAAGAGGGGGAAGCAGGAUUCUAGCCUAAGUGUUCUGACUCCAGAGUCUUAUGUUUAGUCACUUUGCUAUACUGCGCAUGGUUCACCCUGCAGACUUCUUCUGGCCUCAGGUUCUUCUGUCAGGUAGGAGAAUUUAGACACUAGCAAAGAUCACUUUCCACUAUAAAACUGUAUACAUCUAAGGAGGAAUUCAACUGAAUCAAACAAGUUACAUUUAAGGCUAGACCUACAAGUGAUUUGACUGGAAAUAAAGGGCACCAAAUGAAAUUUUGUUUGCUACCAUCAAAUACUGUUGAUUAUGUUAAUGGUCUUCUCUAUCGCCGUCAGAGGGCAUGUAAUUUACAGGUAAUACCUGGACAUAUAAAUAUCUACACACGUUUGAUCAUGCAAUGUAGUCUAACACACUAACUAGCCACCCUCUUUUCCUUCGAUAUCCAUUUUCCUUUCUUCAUUUUUAAUAGAAUGAAGAUCUUAUUUUAGGCUGCAAAGAACCUAGCUAAGAGGUAACAAGGCCCAGCCUUCUUUGGUGCUAAGAUUGGCCAUACAUUCUGACCAAAGAUUAUGAAUGGACGUGUUGAGUGGAAGUGCUUGAUGGGUCUUUGGUGAAGGCUGUUUCAAAGUGGUUGACUCACAUAUUAGAAAGGUUUUUGGUCCUUGCUCCCUUCUCUUUCUGUGUGGAGUGCAGUCUUCUUGGACCAUGAGCUGAUCUCAAGGAUGAGCUAAGAUGAUAAGAGUGGGAAUAGAGAUGGAACCUGGAUAAUUAAGGUAUCUCAGCUUCUGGAAAUCUUAUCUCCUGAAUUUACUUGGGAGAAAUAAACUUCUGUUGGGGCAAGACAUUUAUAUUUUGGCUUAUCACUGCAUGUGGCAAAAUUGAAUUCUAACUGAUGCAACAUGAGAUAGUUAAAGAAAUCUACAAAAGAAUAAUACCAAGGAGAUGGAGAGGUCCUAUUUGGAAGGUAUAUAAGGUAGAGUCAAUAAGACUUAGUGGUUGAUUGGAUAUAAGAGAUAAAGAAAAUGCAAGAGUCAAAGUCAAUGACUAAAUCAAAGUAACAAGGUGGAUGGAAGUGCCAUUUUCAGAUAAAGACCUAAGAAGAGGGGUUCUCUUGGGGUACAUCAGAUUAAGGAUCCAGCAUUGUCACUGCAACUGCUCAGGUCACUGCUGUGGCCUGUGCUCAUCUCUGGCCUGGGAAUUUUCAGAUGCUAUGGGAAUGCACCCCUGCACUCCCCAAAAAGGCAAAAUAACAUAAGGGGAAACUGAGUCCAUGGGGAAGAUGAUCCAAUGAUUUUAUUACUUUUAUCUUUCUUAAAACUCAGGUAUAUGUAGAGGAAUCAGAAAUGAAAUGACAGGGUGAAGAUGGAUAUUCAGGACUGGAGCUCACUAAAUUUAUCUGGGCUAGAACUACAUAAAUGUGUGAGCCACUGAUGUUGUAGUUAGUAACUGGAACAAUUAAAAUUGUCAAGUUCACCUGGGAAGAGUAUGAAGAAUAAGAAGAGAAUAAAGACCAGAACUGUGCUGCCAAGAAAUAAUAGCAUCUAAUGGUCAGAAGAGAAAGAAGAGCAAAUAAAGAUACAGGGAGGAUCAAUGAGAUUCUUGAUGGCCUUGAAGAGAGAGAUGGUGGACUUUUAGGUGAAAGUCCUAGAAAAUAGUGAUGCAAAAAGGGCACAGAAGACCAAGAAAUGGAGAUAGUGUGUGUAGACCACGUUUUCAAAGAGUUUGUUGGGAAGAGGAGAAAAGGAGGAUGGUGACUGAAGGAAGAUAUGGAAUCAAAGGAGAAGAAAUCAAUAAGGUGAGGUUCUACAAGGCAAUUGCACAGUUAGGCUUAUUAUUUUUAGGCAAGAGGAAAGAUAGCUAAUUCAUUGUAACAGGGAGGACAUUUAGAACCAGAUCUCUUUAUUUGUAGAUAAUAGGAAUUUAAAGGCAUUCUAAUCUGAUGACUUCAUUUUGUCUAUAAAAUCGCAGUCAAGUUCAUCUGUAGAGAGAAAGGUGGGAAGGUUAAGAAUUGUGGAACAGUUUGAAAUGGCUCUGGAGAAUGGGUGAGAAUAGUGACUGAUAAAGCAUAAGGGAUGUUUGUCAAGGGUGUAACUAACGUCAAGGACCUCAAAAGGACCGUGAUCCUCUUUAUCCACUCUUCCUCCUUCUCCUUCUUAACAUACACGCGUCUCCAUAUUUUUUGUUAGCUUUUUCUUAGGUGUUUCUCUUAUUUUUAUUGGGAGAUUUUUUUUCCAUAAUGUUUUCCACUAGUUACUGCCAACAUAAAUUAAAUCUAUCUAAAUUUUCUGUACUGAUUCCUGGCCUCUCAUGCUGAAAUUUGUUAUCUGGAGUUGUUCAGAUUAAAACUACCUCUGCAAAUAAUGACCAGUUCAUCUCUCCUUUCUAAAACAUAUUUCUUAUUCUUUUCCCUCUUCUAUUCAGUGACUAAAACUUCUGAAGAAUGAUUAAUAACAAAGGUUACAAAAAUAACCAUUUUUGAUCCUGAAUUUAAUAGGAAUGUCUUGGUAUUUCACCAUUUAUUAGGUGAAAUAUUUAUUGAGAAACUUUCUGUGUAGUCGUGGUGUUCAGUACUGUGGUGAAAUAAUUUGGCACCAUUUUGGAUGUCAUAUAAUUUAAAGUCUAGUGGAGAGAUAAAGAUUUGAAAAGGUAAUAAAAAUAUACUCUCACAAUUGUAACUUGUGAUAAGCAUUAGGAAUGAAAAAAAGAAGAAUGCUCUGAAAGAAAAUAAUUCCAGUCCUAAUUUAGAUUGGAGGGUCAAGUAAUUCCUUUCUGCAAAAGUGGCAUUUAUGUUAAACCAUAAAAAUGAAGUCAGAAUUAUAGAAAAACCAAGUCAAGAUAUAAAGGUAGGAAUGAGUAGGAGAAAUGGGGAGUUAAUGUAGGAACAUUAAAUGAGAUUACAGAUUGAGAUUACUUUGUACAAUGGAAAGAAUAUAGAGCAUAUACUAAGUGCUUAAUAAAUGUUAACUCAACAUAUAAUUUUAGAAUUUGAUACCUUACUCAUAUUACUUAUAUUAAGAAAGUAAACUUUUAUGAUUAGUUUACCAAGAAGAGUUUUUAAAAAUAGGAACAAAUUUAGAGUGUUAUUAAUAGGACCUGCAGUUGCAUUUUGAGGUGAUCAUAUGCUCAUUCUUCUUUAUCUAGCAGUAUGAUAAAUAAUGUGAUUUAUUCUGGGUCAUGAUUUUUGUCCAAUAUAUUUUUUCACUUAGCUUGUCUUUAAUUCUCAAGAUUUUGUAAAUAUAUUAAUAAAUAGUUUUUU